UGCGAGCGAACAGAGAAGAGCCCAGCACCGAAUCCCGCGGCCGAUAUCGGACGCCGGGAAAUGUGGUGUUAGGGAGGAUCCGUUUAUCCCGAGGUCGUGCGGUGCGUCCAAGUCCUUCUUGAACGGGGCCACAGCCCAUAGAGGGUGCCAGGCCCGUAGUGACCGCUGCCGAUCGCGGGAGGAUCUCUCCUCAGUGUCGGGUUGCUUGAGAGUGCAGCCCUAAGUGGGUGGUAAACUCCAUCUAAGGCUAAAUAUGACCACGAGACCGAUAGCGAACAAGUACCGUGAGGGAAAGUUGAAAAGCACUUUGAAGAGAGAGUUCAAGAGUACGUGAAACCGUUCAGGGGUAAACCUGAGAAGCCCGAAAGGUCGAAUGGGGAAAUUCAUUCGCGUUUCGGCCGUCGGCGUUGGAUGGUCGCGUGACGGAUGGCGUACGCGUCGUCCGCGCCUUUCGUCCUUCGAACCGGCGUCGAACGCGUGCACUUUUCCCCUAGUAGGACGUCGCGAUCCGUUGGGUGUCGGUCUACGGCUCGCGGUGGAGCCCGUGCGGUCGUUUCGGCGUAUCGCACGGACCCGCGGUGUCCCGGCCGACUCGCUCGACGGUAUACAGAUGGCGCGGGGCCGCUACACAGUUAGCGUUCGAC
rnacentral:rRNA from 1 species